rnacentral:rRNA from 1 species
UACGUAGGGGGCUAGCGUUGUCCGGAUUUAUUGGGCGUAAAGGGCGCGUAGGCGGCCAUGCGUGUCUUCCGUGAAAUCCCUCGGCUUAACUGAGGACGUGCGGAAGAAACUGCAAGGCUCGAGUCCGGGAGAGGGGGGUGGAAUUCCCAGUGUAGCGGUGAAAUGCGUAGAUAUUGGGAGGAACACCGGUGGCGAAGGCGGCCCCCUGGACCGGUACUGACGCUGAGGCGCGAAAGCGUGGGUAGCAAACGGG